rfam:Xenopus laevis strain J chromosome 9_10S, whole genome shotgun sequence.
AAGGUCCGUGAUGAUUGGUUUUGUUCGAGUUUAAAGCCAAUGAGACAACUUACAUGCACUACCAUCUGAGACCUG